CAGCCAUCAAGAAGAUCGAAACAGUCAGCUGUCUAGCUGUACUCCAUACCCAGUGCCAGGAAGGAGACUAUUAACUAUGCCUCAGGUUUGUCUUCGUACAGCUUCCAGUGCUGGUGUGAAAUUGUGCCGCUUUGUGCACUCACAGCUGAGCAGAGGCAGAGCCUGCGGAAACGAGCAGACGUCAGUCAGCCCAGUGCGCUGUUAGCCACGAAAGUCCUCAGCACAAUGAUUUGGUGAGGCCGUGAUCUCGGAGAGACAGAAAAUGAGAUGGGUGCUUCGGAUGGAUCAGGAGGAAAUGCUGAAUCGUAAAGGUUUGUGUGGCCACCUGCCUCGGAGUGGAAGGAAGGCUGCCCUCCUCCUACAUCUGACCACUGACAUUAGGCUUGCGGGGCUGCGUGACCCAGCAGAGAGACCUCAUCCGCCAGCAGGGAAGUAACAUGCCCUCUUGGUCAGAUGCUGUUGCUCUCUGGACUUCUGCCUUUCUAGCCAGUGCCUCGGAGAUGAUGAUGUAGUCCCUAUGUGGGCCGCAGAAAGCACUUCGAGCCGUGCUGGAGUCGUGCUGGGUGGCUCUGAUAGCAGAGCUAAUGGGAGCGAAUGGGAUGCAACGAACUGUUCUAAUGACACCAGCCAGGGAAGAGACAACA
rnacentral:lncRNA from 1 species